rnacentral:tRNA from 1 species
GGAGAGAUGGCAGAGUGGUUUAUUGCAACAAUUUCGAAAAUUGUCAUAACGUUAGUUAUCGAGGGUUCAAAUCCCUCUCUCUCCU